AGUGAACGCUGGCGGCGUGCUUAAGACAUGCAAGUCGAACGGCAGUCUUCGGACUGUAGUGGCGCACGGGUGAGUAACGCGUAACUGACCUACCCCAAAGUCGCGGAUAACGAUUCGAAAGAAUCGCUAAUACGUGAUGUGCUGUCAGAUUGUGUUCUGCCAGUAAAGAUUGAUUGCUUUGGGAUGGGGUUGCGUUCCAUCAGCUAGUUGGUGGGGUAAAGGCCCACCAAGGCGACGACGGAUAGCCGGCCUGAGAGGGUGGCCGGCCACAGGGGCACUGAGAAACGGGUCCCACUCCUACGGGAGGCAGCAGUUAGGAAUCUUCCACAAAGGGCGAAAGCCUGAUGGAGCGACGCCGCGUGAGGGAUGAAGGUCUUCGGAUCGUAAACCUCUGAAUCAGGGACGAAAGACACUUCGGUGGGAUGACGGUACCUGAGUAAUAGCACCGGCUAACUCCGUGCCAGCCGCCGCCGUAACAC
rnacentral:rRNA from 1 species